CUUCCUUUGGGGCCCGUGACCGCUGCUUCCUCCUCAUCUUCCGCCUCUGGCAGAAUGCACUGCUUGAAAAGACGCUGAGUCCCCGCGAGCUCUGGCAUCUGGUGCAUCAGUGCUACGGCUCAGAGCUGGGCCUCACCAGUGAGGAUGAGGACUAUGUCUGCCCCUUGCAGCUGAACGGUCUGGGGUGAGUUGGAGGUCAAAGGAGGUUGAAGGGUUUGGGGGAGAACAGGACGGUCGGCGUGCAGAGUUCCUGGAGUGCUGGGGGGCCUGAGGCGGUUGCAUGAAGUCUGGAGGAUUCAGGAGGGUGUGUGGGGUCUCAAGGACACAGCAGUCCUGCUUCCUCCCCUUCCCCACAGGACCCCCAAGGAAGUGGGAGAUGUGAUCGCCCUGAGCGACAUCA
rnacentral:sRNA from 1 species